GACGACCCCUGGCGGCACGCUUAACACAUGCAAGUCGAACGAGAGAAGAGAAGCUUGCUUUUCUGAUCUAGUGGCGGACGGGUGAGUAACACGUGAGCAAUCCGCCUUUCAGAGGGGGAUACCGAUUGGAAACGAUCGUUAAUACCGCAUAACAUAAUUGAACCGCAUGAUUUGAUUAUCAAAGAUUUAUCGCUGAAAGAUGAGCUCGCGUCUGAUUAGCUAGUUGGUAAGGUAACGGCUUACCAAGGCGACGAUCAGUAGCCGGACUGAGAGGUUGAUCGGCCACAUUGGGACUGAGACACGGCCCAGACUCCUACGGGAGGCAGCAGUGGGGAAUAUUGCACAAUGGAGGAAACUCUGAUGCAGCGAUGCCGCGUGAGGGAAGAAGGUUUUAGGAUUGUAAACCUCUGUUUUCAGGGACGAAAAAAGACGGUACCUGAGGAGGAAGCUCCGGCUAACUACGUGCCAGCAGCCGCGGUAAUACGUAGGGAGCGAGCGUUGUCCGGAAUUACUGGGUGUAAAGGGAGCGUAGGCGGGAUCGCAAGUCAGAUGUGAAAACUAUGGGCUUAACCCAUAAACUGCAUUUGAAACUGUGGUUCUUGAGUGAAGUAGAGGUAAGCGGAAUUCCUAGUGUAGCGGUGAAAUGCGUAGAUAUUAGGAGGAACAUCAGUGGCGAAGGCGGCUUACUGGGCUUUAACUGACGCUGAGGCUCGAAAGCGUGGGGAGCAAACAGGAUUAGAUACCCUGGUAGUCCACGCCGUAAACGAUGAUUACUAGGUGUGGGGGGACUGACCCCUUCCGUGCCGCAGCAAACGCAAUAAGUAAUCCACCUGGGGAGUACGACCGCAAGGUUGAAACUCAAAGGAAUUGACGGGGGCCCGCACAAGCAGUGGAGUAUGUGGAUUAAUUCGAAGCAACGCGAAGAACCUUACCAGGUCUUGACAUCGUAUGCAUAGCUCAGAGAUGAGUGAAAUCUCUUCGGAGACAUAUAGACAGGUGGUGCAUGGUUGUCGUCAGCUCGUGUCGUGAGAUGUUGGGUUAAGUCCCGCAACGAGCGCAACCCUUACUGUUAGUUGCUACGCAAGAGCACCCUAGCAGGACUGCCGUUGACAAAACGGAGGAAGGUGGGGAUGACGUCAAAUCAUCAUGCCCCUUAUGACCUGGGCCUCACACGUACUACAAUGGCUGUCAACAGAGGGAUGCAAAGCCGCGAGGUGGAGCGAACCCCUAAAAGCAGUCUUAGUUCGGAUUGUAGGCUGCAACCCGCCUACAUGAAGUCGGAAUUGCUAGUAAUCGCAGAUCAGCAUGCUGCGGUGAAUACGUUCCCGGGCCUUGCACU
rnacentral:rRNA from 1 species